rnacentral:lncRNA from 1 species
AGACAUCUCAGAUUGAUACCCAGGGAGGGUUGGAUGAGAAAAGUUAUCUUAUCAGAGUAACAAUGUUGUCUUCUCUCUCCUCUCUUUCUCACUCUCUGUCUCUCUCUCUCUCUGUCUCUCAUUCUCGGUCUCUCUCUCUUCUCUCUCUGUCUCUCUCUCUCACUCUCUGUCUCUCUCUCUCUGUCUCGCUCUCUCUCCUGUCUCUGUCUCUCUCUCCUGUUUCUAUCUCUCACUCUCGGUCUCUCUCUCUCCUCUCUCUGUCUCUCUCUCUCCUCUCUCUGUCUCUCUCUCUCCUCUUUCUCUCUCUCCUGUCUCUGUCUCUCUCUCUCACUCUCUCUCUCUCUCUCUCGUCUCUCUGUCUCUCUCGUCUCUCUGUCUCCCUCUCCUGUCUUUCUCUCUCUCUCUCUCUCCUCUCUCUUUCUCUCUGCGUCUCUCUUCUCUCUCUCUCUCUCUCUCCUCUCUCCUCUCUCCUCUCUCUCUCAGCCUGGCUCAGCAAACAGCAGUAUAAUGAGCAGCAGUCAGAGGGAGGUGAAUAUUAUUCAGGCCAGCCAGCAGGGUGCGUUGGCAGUUUGCCCUAUAGCAGAACCACAUAUUAUUUUAUUUGAUGUUUUGAUCAACAACAUAUUUCAUUCAGACUACGGUGUUUGAUGUGAGUGAUAGAUAAACAUUUGGUUUAUUUGCUUCAGAUUGACAAAAUCCAUACAUUUUCAUUGUUUGUUUGAGAAAGUUUUUUUUUGUUUGGGGGGGGUGGAUGGAUGGAUUUUUGUUUUGAAUGAGCACUUUUCUUUUGAAAAAAAAGACGGAUCGGUAAGAAAGUCGAGAUAAAUAUGUAUUGGACGUGGCUGUGGGCCAGUUGUUUCCCUGCUUGGUGCAACCUCAGCAGCGCCCUGUCGUGACGUCCCAGAAGUUUAAAGUGGGCCGCGCUCUGCUCAGCGGGAGGAGAGGAGACGUACUGCCGAGAAGGGAGGGAUGCUUCUCAUCUCUUCGCUGUUACACACAUACUUGUAUCUUGAACUGACUUCGGUACAUUUCCAUUUUUUCUUCUUCUCCUUUCUCUACCAUACACUAAAUAUUCUCGAAAGUCCAUAUACAACAUUGCUCUAUAUUUUUUUCUGCCUUGAAAAGCGUAUUAUUUAUGUUGUCUGUUGCCUUGUAGUUCAAUCGCGUAACGUUACCAGAGGACGGACCUGCCUGACCAUUAACAGUUACUUUCAAGUCGUCGAUAAGAAUCUCACAUCUUCAAACGGCCCAAGACCCAUCACCUCUCCCCGUCUAGAUCAGAGGAACAUCGGGAACACCAGCCCAUCUGUCGUGUGUCCCUGCCAACAGAGUCUCCCUGCCUCCCUGCAGCUCGUUCUCUCCACCACCCCGAGACUUCAGGAAACAUCCAGGGACAACGGUCACCACCACCGGUGUGUCCUCAAGAUGGGGACUAUCCCUCUGGCUCUAACCUUAACCCUGGUCUUGUUGGCUGUCCUGGGGUUCACUACACCUAGAGUCUGGAGCCUGAACCCAGACGAUCCUAACGUCUGCAGUCACUGGGAGAGGUGAGCGAUAAGUCAUGACCAUGCGUCCUCCAUCACAGCCAACAGACAGAAUGAAUCAUCCUCCUGAUUCAUGCAACCAACAGACAUAAUGAUUCAUCCUCCAUUACAACCAACAGACAGAAUGAUUCAUCCUCCAUUACAACCAACAGACAGAAUGAUUCAUCCUCCUGAUUCAUGCAGCCAACAGACAGAAUGAUUCAUCCAUCUGAUUCAUGCAACCAACAGACAGAAUGAUUCAUCCUCCUGAUUCAUACAACCAACAGACAGAAUGAUUCAUCCUCCAUUACAACCAAUAUACAGAAUGAUUCAUCCUCCUGAUUCAUGCAGCCAACAGACAUAAGGAUUCAUCCUCCAAACAACCAACAGACAGAAUGAUUCAUCCUCCUGAUUCAUACAACCAGCAGACAGAAUGAUUCAUUCCCCUGAUUCAUACAACCAACAGACAGAAUGAUUCAUUCCCCUGAUUCAUACAACCAACAGACAGAAUGAUUCAUCCUCCUGAUUCAUAUAACCAGCAGACAGCAUGAUUCAUCCUCCAUUACAACCAGAAUGAUUCAUCCUCCUGAUUCAUACAACCAACAGACAGAAUGAUUAAUUCCCCUGAUUCAUACAACCAACAGACAGAAUGAUUCAUUCCCCUGAUUCAUACAACCAACAGACAUAAUGAUUCAUCCUCCUGAUUCAUAUAACUACCAGACAGAAUGAUUCAUCCUCCAUUACAACCAACAGACAGAAUGAUUCAUCCUCCUGAUUUAUAUAACUACCAGACAAAAUGAUUCAUCCUCCUGAUUCAUAUAACUAUCAGACAGAAUGAUUCAUCCUCCAUUACAACCAACUGACAGAAUGAUUCAUCCUCCAUUACAACCAGAAUGAUUCAUCCUCCUUGGCUUCUCUAUCAAAUCAGGUCACUUUCCCAAAAUUCCUUGGUUUAGAGAUUCCCAGAAUCAGGAAUGAGGAAUAACCAGGAAAUCUGGAAUCUUCCAACCAGGAUUUCUGGAAAACCUGUGAAUUCUGGGUAAAGUUAACAGACUUUUGCAACCGUUGUCGGCGUAGGUGUUUGGUAUUUUAUCAGCAGUUACUCUUCCACACAACAUGAAACAUGACACAAUACAGAACGGAAAUAGACAACAGCUCAAGGACAGAACUACAUCAUUUUAGAAAGGCACACGCAGCCUACUUAUCGAUGCAUACACACAAACUAUCUAGGUCAAAUAGGGGGAGAGG